GAACCCUGAGACGUGAUGCCGAGUCGAUUCAGACGAAGUCACUGAUUCCAUGCUGUCAAGAAAAGCCCAACAGUGAGUUGGCACGGCACCCGUACCCCAAACCGACACAGGUGGGCGGGUAGAGAAUACCAAGGCGAUCGGGAGAACUAUGGUUAAGGAACUCGGCAAAUUACAUCCGUAACUUCGGGAGAAGGAUGACCCCAUGAUCGUGAAGAGAUUUACUCUCGGAGCGUGGAGGGGUGGCACAGACCAGGGGGUAGCGACUGUUUACCAAAAACACAGCAGCGUGCUAAGCCGCAAGGCGCUGUAUACGCUGUGACGCCUGCCCAAUGCUGGAAGGUCACGGGGAAAGGUUAGCCGCAAGGCGAAGCUUUGAACCUAAGCCCCAGUGAAUGGCGGCCGUAACUAUAACGGUCCUAAGGUAGCGAAAUUCCUUGUCGGGUAAGUUCCGACCUGCACGAAUGGCGUAACGACUUCCCCACUGUCUCAACCAUAGACCCGGCGAAAUUGAAGUACGAGUAAAGAUGCUCGUUUGCUGCGGAAGGACGGAAAGACCCCAUGGACCUUCACUACAACUUGAUAUUGAGUUUUGACCUGCGUUGUGUAGGAUAGGUGGGAGGCUUGGAAGCAUUAGCGCUAGCUAGUGUGGAGCCAACGUUGAAAUACCACCCUGCGUAUGUCGGGACUCUAACCUGGGUCCAUCAUCUGGAUCAGGAACAGUGUCAGGCGGGUAGUUUGACUGGGGCGGUCGCCUCCUAAAAUGUAACGGAGGCGCCCAAAGGUUCCCUCAGGCUGGUUGGCAAUCAGCCGUCGAGUGCAAUGACACAAGGGAGCUUGACUGCGAGACUGACAGGUCAAGCAGGUGCGAAAGCAGGGCAUAGUGACCCGGCCAUCACGUGUGGAAGUGUGGUCGCUCAACGGAUAAAAGGUACCCUGGGGAUAACAGGCUAAUCUUUCCCAAGAGUCCAUAUCGACGGAAAGGUUUGGCACCUCGAUGUCGGCUCAUCGCAUCCUGGGGCUGAAGCAGGUCCCAAGGGUUGGGCUGUUCGCCCAUUAAAGCGGUACGCGAGCUGGGUUCAGAACGUCGUGAGACAGUUCGGUCCCUAUCCUCCGCAGCCGAAGGAAUGUUGAGGAAGGCUGUCCCUAGUACGAGAGGACCGGGACGGACGGAGCUCUGGUGUGUCUGUUGUCCUGCCAAGGGCACGGCAGAUUAGCCACCUCCGGAAGGGAUAACUGCUGAAAGCAUCUAAGUAGAAAACCCGUUCCAAGAUGAGCAUUCCCAUGCGGUUAACGCAGUAAGGCCCGUGACAAGACCAUCACGUUGAUAGGCCGGAGGUGUACACACGGCAACGUGUUCAGCCGACCGGUACUAAUCGGCCGAGGGCUUGGACUA
rnacentral:rRNA from 1 species